rnacentral:rRNA from 1 species
UAUCCUGUCUGAAUAUGGGGGGACCAUCCUCCAAGGCUAAAUACUCCUGACUGACCGAUAGUGAACCAGUACCGUGAGGGAAAGGCGAAAAGAACCCCGGCGAGGGGAGUGAAAAAGAACCUGAAACCGUGUACGUACAAGCAGUGGGAGCACGCUUAGGCGUGUGACUGCGUACCUUUUGUAUAAUGGGUCAGCGACUUAUAUUCUGUAGCAAGGUUAACCGAAUAGGGGAGCCGAAGGGAAACCGAGUCUUAACUGGGCGUUAAGUUGCAGGGUAUAGACCCGAAACCCGGUGAUCUAGCCAUGGGCAGGUUGAAGGUUGGGUAACACUAACUGGAGGACCGAACCGACUAAUGUUGAAAAAUUAGCGGAUGACUUGUGGCUGGGGGUGAAAGGCCAAUCAAACCGGGAGAUAGCUGGUUCUCCCCGAAAGCUAUUUAGGUAGCGCCUCGUGAAUUCAUCUCCGGGGGUAGAGCACUGUUUCGGCAAGGGGGUCAUCCCGACUUACCAACCCGAUGCAAACUGCGAAUACCGGAGAAUGUUAUCACGGGAGACACACGGCGGGUGCUAACGUCCGUCGUGAAGAGGGAAACAACCCAGACCGCCAGCUAAGGUCCCAAAGUCAUGGUUAAGUGGGAAACGAUGUGGGAAGGCCCAGACAGCCAGGAUGUUGGCUUAGAAGCAGCCAUCAUUUAAAGAAAGCGUAAUAGCUCACUGGUCGAGUCGGCCUGCGCGGAAGAUGUAACGGGGCUAAACCAUGCACCGAAGCUGCGGCAGCGACGCUUAUGCGUUGUUGGGUAGGGGAGCGUUCUGUAAGCCUGUGAAGGUGUGCUGUGAGGCAUGCUGGAGGUAUCAGAAGUGCGAAUGCUGACAUAAGUAACGAUAAAGCGGGUGAAAAGCCCGCUCGCCGGAAGACCAAGGGUUCCUGUCCAACGUUAAUCGGGGCAGGGUGAGUCGACCCCUAAGGCGAGGCCGAAAGGCGUAGUCGAUGGGAAACAGGUUAAUAUUCCUGUACUUGGUGUUACUGCGAAGGGGGGACGGAGAAGGCUAUGUUGGCCGGGCGACGGUUGUCCCGGUUUAAGCGUGUAGGCUGGUUUUCCAGGCAAAUCCGGAAAAUCAAGGCUGAGGCGUGAUGACGAGGCACUACGGUGCUGAAGCAACAAAUGCCCUGCUUCCAGGAAAAGCCUCUAAGCAUCAGGUAACAUCAAAUCGUACCCCAAACCGACACAGGUGGUCAGGUAGAGAAUACCAAGGCGCUUGAGAGAACUCGGGUGAAGGAACUAGGCAAAAUGGUGCCGUAACUUCGGGAGAAGGCACGCUGAUAUGUAGGUGAAGUCCCUUGCGGAUGGAGCUGAAAUCAGUCGAAGAUACCAGCUGGCUGCAACUGUUUAUUAAAAACACAGCACUGUGCAAACACGAAAGUGGACGUAUACGGUGUGACGCCUGCCCGGUGCCGGAAGGUUAAUUGAUGGGGUCAGCGCAAGCGAAGCUCUUGAUCGAAGCCCCGGUAAACGGCGGCCGUAACUAUAACGGUCCUAAGGUAGCGAAAUUCCUUGUCGGGUAAGUUCCGACCUGCACGAAUGGCGUAAUGAUGGCCAGGCUGUCUCCACCCGAGACUCAGUGAAAUUGAACUCGCUGUGAAGAUGCAGUGUACCCGCGGCAAGACGGAAAGACCCCGUGAACCUUUACUAUAGCUUGACACUGAACAUUGAGCCUUGAUGUGUAGGAUAGGUGGGAGGCUUUGAAGUGUGGACGCCAGUCUGCAUGGAGCCGACCUUGAAAUACCACCCUU